rnacentral:rRNA from 1 species
CCUACGGGGGGCUGCAGUGGGGAAUAUUGGACAAUGGGGGGAACCCUGAUCCAGCCAUGCCGCGUGUGUGAAGAAGGCCCUCGGGUUGUAAAGCACUUUCAGUGAGGAAGAACGCCUGGUGGUUAAUACCCAUCAGGAAAGACAUCACUCACAGAAGAAGCACCGGCUAACUCCGUGCCAGCAGCCGCGGUAAUACGGAGGGCGCGAGCGUUAAUCGGAAUUACUGGGCGUAAAGCGCGCGUAGGUGGCUUGAUAAGCCGGUUGUGAAAGCCCCGGGCUCAACCUGGGAACGGCAUCCGGAACUGUCAAGCUAGAGUGCAGGAGAGGAAGGUAGAAUUCCCGGUGUAGCGGUGAAAUGCGUAGAGAUCGGGAGGAAUACCAGUGGCGAAGGCGGCCUUCUGGACUGACACUGACACUGAGGUGCGAAAGCGUGGGUAGCAAACAGGAUUAGAUACCCGAGUAGUC